rnacentral:rRNA from 1 species
GAGGGGCAGCGGGGUUGUAGCAAUACAACUGCCGGCGACCGGCGCACGGGUGAGUAACACGUAUGUAACCUGCCCUCUGCAGGGGGAUAAGCGGAAGAAAUUCCGUCUAAUACCGCAUAACACAAUUUGGAGACAUCUCCGGGUUGUCAAAGGAGUGAUCCGGCAGAGGAUGGACAUGCGGCGCAUUAGCUAGUCGGCGGGGUAACGGCCCACCGAGGCUACGAUGCGUAGGGGUUCUGAGAGGAAGGUCCCCCACACUGGUACUGAGACACGGACCAGACUCCUACGGGAGGCAGCAGUGAGGAAUAUUGGUCAAUGGGCGGAAGCCUGAACCAGCCAAGUCGCGUGAGGGAAGACGGUCCUAUGGAUUGUAAACCUCUUUUGCAGGGGAGCAAGGCGCGGUACGUGUACCGCGAAGGAGAGUACCCUGAGAAAAAGCAUCGGCUAACUCCGUGCCAGCAGCCGCGGUAAUACGGAGGAUGCGAGCGUUAUCCGGAUUUAUUGGGUUUAAAGGGUGCGCAGGCGGACUGUUAAGUCAGCGGUAAAAUGUCGGUGCUCAACACCGGCCGGCCGUUGAAACUGGCAGCCUUGAGUGAGCGAGAAGUAUGCGGAAUGCGUGGUGUAGCGGUGAAAUGCAUAGAUAUCACGCAGAACUCCGAUUGCGAAGGCAGCAUACCGGCGCUCAACUGACGCUCAGGCACGAAAGCGUGGGUAUCGAACAGGCUUAGAUACCCUGGUAGUCCACGCAGUAAACGAUGAAUGCUCACUGUCCGGGCCGUUUAAGGCCUGGGUGGUCAAG